rnacentral:snoRNA from 1 species
GCAUGGCUUUGGAUUUCUGGUGGGUCUGAUUCUGUAGAUCCANUCAUAGUGUACUCCAUGCUAAAGCAAACUGCUGCCCUCAGCCUUAGGCCAGUGCUGCUCUUUGGAGAACUGGCUGCUGAAAUGCGUAGAACAUCU